UACGUAGGUGGCAAGCGUUGUCCGGAUUUAUUGGGCGUAAAGCGCGCGCAGGCGGUUCGUUAAGUUCGAGGUGAAAUCUCCUGGCUCAACUGGGAGGGGUCUUCGGAUACUGGCGGACUUGAGGAGAGCAGAGGUGAGUGGAAUUCUCGGUGUAGUGGUGAAAUGCGUAGAUAUCGAGAGGAACACCAGCGGCGAAGGCGGCUCACUGGGCUCCACCUGACGCUGAGGCGCGAAAGCGUGGGGAGCGAACCGG
rnacentral:rRNA from 2 species